rnacentral:rRNA from 1 species
GAAUUGUUCGCAAUGGGCGCAAGCCUGACGACACAACGCCGCGUGGAGGAUGAAGGUCUUCGGAUUGUAAACUCCUGUUGCCCGGGACGAAAAGCUCUGACCUAACACGUUGGAGUCUGACGGUACCGGGAGAGGAAGCCCAGUCUAACCCUGUGCCAGCAGCCGCGGUAAUACAGAGGGGGCGAGCGUUGUUCGGAAUUACUGGGCGUAAAGGGCGCGUAGGUGGCCUGUUAAGUCGAACGUGAAAUCCCCGGGCUCAACCCGGGAACUGCGUCCGAGACUGGCAGGCUCGAAUCCGGGAGAGGGAUGUGGAAUUCCAGGUGUAGCGGUGAAAUGCGUAGAUAUCUGGAGGAACACCGGUGGCGAAGGCGGCAUCCUGGACCGGUAUUGACGCUGAGGCGCGAAAGCCUGGGGAGCAAACGGG